rnacentral:lncRNA from 1 species
AAAAGGAGUCCAUUCAUUCUCUACAAUUUCUAUAGCAUAUCUUAAUUAAAAUGCCAAGAAGAUAUACCCUAAGAAUGGAGACCAGAGCACUGGGGGCUGUGCAAAUCAUGAAUGGCCUAAUUUACUGUGCAUUGGGGUUUCUUUGUUUUGCAUUAUUUAUCUCAGAAGAGGACAGGAAACAAACUGGUCAUAUCCCUGUUGUUGUUACACUAAUUUACAUAUUUUGGUCAGCACCAUUUUUCAUCAGCUCAGGAUCCACCAGUGUACACGCACAGAGGCGUCCUACAAAAUACAAGGUCCUUCACUCUCAGAAUCCACUGCCCCUACAUUAAUAUACAAAGAACCAGUGUGACUCCAGUCAAGAACAAAAGUACAAAGAACCAGUGUGACUCCAGUCAAGAACAAAAGUACAAAGAACCAGUGUGACUCCAGUCAAGAACAAAAGUACAAAGAACCAGUGUGACUCCAGUCAAGAACAAAAGAUUAACUGUGAAUUAGUGAAGAACUCAGUAACUUUUUUCAAGAGGCCCAUGGAAAAUACAUGCUAAUGAGGUCCUUUCUGGUAUAUCUUCUUCCUACUUCUUCAAUAAAGGAUGCAAUUUGAUCA